GUUAUUGCGCCGUUCAUCGCAACGCCCUAUAUCGGUGGAGCCGGUUUCGGCCGGCUAUGGCGAUAAAUUGUUGCGUGCAAUAAGCGCAGCGGACCCGGGGGCAGUACCCGGCGGCUCCACCAGAAAUCGCGCGAAAGCGGGGUUCCCGAUGGGGCCGAACCAGGAUCGACGUGUGUUCAAAAGCGCAGUUUUUGCCCGGGCUGAGUAACCCGUUAAAGGCUCAAAACCCAUAAGUGCCAACGAUAACGAAGCACUUGCUCUUGCAGCGUAAUUGAUGGGCUAACGCCCUGAUAUUACACUAACAGAACGCGGCUUGGACCGAGCCGGGCAACAGGAUCGGAAACC
rnacentral:tmRNA from 1 species